CCCACCAAGGCUAUGACGCUUAACUGGUCUGAGAGGAUGAUCAGUCACACUGGAACUGAGACACGGUCCAGACUCCUACGGGAGGCAGCAGUAGGGAAUAUUGCGCAAUGGGGGAAACCCUGACGCAGCAACGCCGCGUGGAGGAUGACACUUUUCGGAGCGUAAACUCCUUUUCUUAGGGAAGAAUUCUGACGGUACCUAAGGAAUAAGCACCGGCUAACUCCGUGCCAGCAGCCGCGGUAAUACGGAGGGUGCAAGCGUUACUCGGAAUCACUGGGCGUAAAGGGCGCGUAGGCGGAUUAUCAAGUCUCUUGUGAAAUCUAAUGGCUUAACCAUUAAACUGCUUGGGAAACUGAUAGUCUAGAGUGAGGGAGAGGCAGAUGGAAUUGGUGGUGUAGGGGUAAAAUCCGUAGAUAUCACCAAGAAUACCCAUUGCGAAGGCGAUCUGCUGGAACUCAACUGACGCUAAGGCGCGAAAGCGUGGGGAGCAAACAGGAUUAGAUACCCUGGUAGUCCACGCCCUAAACGAUGUACACUAGUUGUUGGGGUGCUAGUCAUCUCAGUAAUGCAGCUAACGCAUUAAGUGUACCGCCUGGGGAGUACGGUCGCAAGAUUAAAACUCAAAGGAAUAGACGGGGACCCGCACAAGCGGUGGAGCAUGUGGUUUAAUUCGAAGAUACGCGAAGAACCUUACCUGGGCUUGAUAUCCUAAGAACCUUUUAGAGAUAAGAGGGUGCUAGCUUGCUAGAACUUAGAGACAGGUGCUGCACGGCUGUCGUCAGCUCGUGUCGUGAGAUGUUGGGUUAAGUCCCGCAACGAGCGCAACCCACGUAUUUAGUUGCUAACGGUUCGGCCGAGCACUCUAAAUAGACUGCCUUCGUAAGGAGGAGGAAGGUGUGGACGACGUCAAGUCAUCAUGGCCCUUAUGCCCAGGGCGACACACGUGCUACAAUGGCAUAUACAAUGAGACGCAAUACCGCGAGGUGGAGCAAAUCUAUAAAAUAUGUCCCAGUUCGGAUUGUUCUCUGCAACUCGAGAGCAUGAAGCCGGAAUCGCUAGUAAUCGUAGAUCAGCCAUGCUACGGUGAAUACGUUCCCGGGUCUUGUACUCACCGCCCGUCACACCAUGGGAGUUGAUUUCACUCGAAGCCGGAAUACUAAACUAGUUACCGUCCACAGUGGAAUCAGCGACUGGGGUGAAGUCGUAACAAGGUAACCGUAGGAGAACCUGCGGUUGGAUCACCUCCUUUCUA
rnacentral:rRNA from 1 species